rnacentral:rRNA from 1 species
GACACUCCUGCGGGAGGCAGCAGUGGGGAAUAUUGGACAAUGGGCGCAAGCCUGAUCCAGCCAUGCCGCGUGAGUGAUGAAGGCCCUAGGGUUGUAAAGCUCUUUCACCGGUGAAGAUAAUGACGGCAACCGGAGAAGAAGCCCCGGCUAACUUCGUGCCAGCAGCCGCGGUAAUACGAAGGGGGCUAGCGUUGUUCGGAUUUACUGGGCGUAAAGCGCACGUAGGCGGACUAUUAAGUCAGGGGUGAAAUCCCGGGGCUCAACCCCGGAACUGCCUUUGAUACUGGUAGUCUUGAGUUCGAGAGAGGUGAGUGGAAUUCCGAGUGUAGAGGUGAAAUUCGUAGAUAUUCGGAGGAACACCAGUGGCGAAGGCGGCUCACUGGCUCGAUACUGACGCUGAGGUGCGAAAGCGUGGGGAGCAAACAGGAUUAGAAACCCGAGUAGUCC